rnacentral:rRNA from 1 species
AUUCCUACGGGAGGCAGCAGUGGGGAAUCUUGGACAAUGGGCGCAAGCCUGAUCCAGCCAUGCCGCGUGAGUGAAGAAGGUCUUCGGAUUGUAAAGCUCUUUUGCCAGGGACGAUAAUGACGGUACCUGGAGAAUAAGCCCCGGCAAACUUCGUGCCAGCAGCCGCGGUAAUACGAAGGGGGCUAGCGUUGUUCGGAAUUACUGGGCGUAAAGCGCACGUAGGCGGGUCGUUAAGUCAGGGGUGAAAUCCCGGAGCUCAACUCCGGAACUGCCUUUGAUACUGGCGAUCUUGAGAUCGGAAGAGGUGAGUGGAAUUCCCAGUGUAGAGGUGAAAUUCGUAGAUAUUGGGAAGAACACCAGUGGCGAAGGCGGCUCACUGGUCCGAUACUGACGCUGAGGUGCGAAAGCGUGGGGAGCAAACAGGAUUAGAUACCUUGGUAGUCCACGCCGUAAACUAUGGAAGCUAGCCGUCAGUCAGCUUGCUGAGUGGUGGCGCAGCUAACGCAUUAAGCUUCCCGCCUGGGGAGUACGGUCGCAAGAUUAAAACUCAAAGGAAUUGACGGAAU